rnacentral:rRNA from 1 species
UUAGAUGUCCGGGGCCGCACGCGCGCUACACUGAAGGAAUCAGCGUGUGAUUUCCCUGUCCGGCAGGACUGGGUAACCCGUUGAACCUCCUUCGUGAUAGGGACAGGAGCUUGUAAUUCUUCUCCUCGAACGAGGAAUUCCUAGUAAGCACGAGUCAUCAGCUCGUGUUGAUUACGUCCCUGCCCUUUGUACACACCGCCCGUCGCUACUACCGAUUGAAUGAUUUAGUGAGGUCUUCGGACUGGCGCUCGGAGCGGCCUCUUGGCCGGGCCGRCGUGCCGGAAAGAUGACCGAACUUUGGUCAUUUAGAGGAAGUAAAAGUCGUAACAAGGUUUCC